rnacentral:ncRNA from 1 species
UUACACACUGUAAAAAGGAAAGUAAAACUUACACUGCUUAUACAGAGAGUCUUCACACGCUGAGAGAAGGCAUUGAAAGAAAGUUUGAAAAUGGCCUUGGAGUGUUGAUGCCAAUAUGAGGUAUCAACGGGUUCGCCCGUUAUAGCGAUACAGUAUUAACAUUGAUGUUAAAUGGCGUACUGGAAAUUUUAUACGUCACAAUUUAUCGUUAAUACUCAUUUAUUCACAUAUGGAUUAAAUGAGUUUUUGUUUUAUUUAAUGAUGUUACGAUAAAAAGAUUGUGUAUCAGCUAUUUUCAGUAUACUGUUUUAACACUAUGGCGUACUGAUUGAGGUUACUUUAGCAAUAAAGUAGCAAACAAAGGUGGUACCGCGAAGUUUAAGCUUUCGUCCUUUAC